rnacentral:rRNA from 1 species
UACGGGAAGGCAGCAGUGGGGAAUAUUGCACAAUGGGCGAAAGCCUGAUGCAGCUAUGCCGCGUGUAUGAAGAAGGCCUUAGGGUUGUAAAGUACUUUCAUCGGGGAGGAAAAAAACAAAACUAAUAAUUUUAUUUCUUGACGUUACCCGAAAAAGAAGCACCGGCUAACUCCGUGCCAGCAGCCGCGGUAAUACGGAGGGUGCUAGCGUUAAUCAGAAUUACUGGGCGUAAAGAGCACGUAGGUGGUUUUUUUAAGUCAGAUGUGAAAUCCCUGGGCUUAACCUAGGAACUGCAUUUUGAAACUGAAAUACUAGAGUAUCGUAGAGGGAGGUAGAAUUCUAGGUGUAGCGGUGAAAUGCGUAGAUAUCUGGAGGAAUACCUGUGGCGAAAGCGGCCUCCUAAACGAAUACUGACACUGAGGUGCGAAAGCGUGGGGAGCAAACAGGGAUUAGAUACC